rnacentral:tRNA from 1 species
GACUGGAUAGCCUAGUGGUUAAGGCAUCACAUAUGAGUUGUGUCCUGGUUAAGGGUCCUUGGUUUGAAUCCAAGUCUAGUCA